UUUUUUGGUUGGUUUACCCGGAAGCAAAAUUCCUGAGUGGUUGAGCUGUGAAGGCCCAGGAUAUUUAAUUGAAACUUCGUUCCCUCCUGGUUGCUUCAAUAAUAUGUUCCUGGGUUUUGUUUUUUGUGCUAUUCUAGAAUUCAAGGAUCCUGUUUACUUUUGCUAUGGACCCUUAUCUUGUCUAAGCAGUUUCAAGAACAAUAAUGGCUACACAGAGGCCAAAUUUACAAGUGAAUAUUUCUGUUUGGAAAAUACCAUAGAAUCAGAUCAUUUGUUCUUUUGNCUUUUGGUACGAUGGCCAUGACAUUUCCUUUUUAGAUUGGCUCAAACAAAAUUGUG
rnacentral:misc_RNA from 1 species